rnacentral:rRNA from 1 species
AGUUUCGCCCCGGCCCCCCCCGCGCCCGUCCCGCCGCCCCCGCCCGCCUACGGGAGGCAGCAGGGGGGAAUAUUGCACAAUGGGCGAAAGCCUGAUGCAGCAACGCCGCGUGAGGGAUGACGGCCUUCGGGUUGUAAACCUCUUUUAGCAGGGAAGAAGCGAAAGUGACGGUACCUGCAGAAAAAGCGCCGGCUAACUACGUGCCAGCAGCCGCGGUAAUACGUAGGGCGCAAGCGUUAUCCGGAAUUAUUGGGCGUAAAGAGCUCGUAGGCGGUUUGUCGCGUCUGCUGUGAAAUCCCGAGGCUCAACCUCGGGCCUGCAGUGGGUACGGGCAGACUAGAGUGCGGUAGGGGAGAUUGGAAUUCCUGGUGUAGCGGUGGAAUGCGCAGAUAUCAGGAGGAACACCGAUGGCGAAGGCAGAUCUCUGGGCCGUAACUGACGCUGAGGAGCGAAAGGGUGGGGAGCAAACAGGCUUAGAUACCCUGGUAGUCCACCCCGUAAACGUUGGGAACUAGUUGUGGGGACCAUUCCACGGUUUCCGUGACGCAGCUAACGCAUUAAGUCCCCGCCUGGAGACCGGCACUGAG